rnacentral:rRNA from 1 species
AGAAUCAACGCUGGCGGCGUGCCUAACACAUGCAAGUCGAACGAGAAAGUGGAGCAAUCCAUGAGUAAAGUGGCGACCGGGUGAGUAACACGUGACUAACCUACCUUCAAGUGGGGGAUAACCUCGGGAAACCGGGGCUAAUACCGCAUAACAUCCCUGGAGCGGAAGAACUGGAGAUCAAUGGAGCAAUUCGCUUGAAGAGGGGGUCGCGGCUGAUUAGCUAGUUGGCGGGGUAAUGGCCCACCAAGGCUUUGAUCGGUAGCCGGCCUGAGAGGGCGCACGGCCACACUGGAACUGAAACACGGUCCAGACUCCUACGGGAGGCAGCAGUGGGGAAUUUUGCGCAAUGGGGGAAACCCUGACGCAGCAACGCCGCGUGGAGGAUGAAGUCCCUUGGGACGUAAACUCCUUUCGACCGGGACGAUUAUGACGGUACCGGUGGAAGAAGCCCCGGCUAACUUCGCGCCAGCGGCCGC